CUCUGCCAAUGCGGAGUUCGUCAUAAUGCCUCUGUCACUCAUAUGCAGCUCAAUUUUCAUAAUUAAAAGAGAUUCAGACACAUGAAGGAUGCACAGAGAGGAAACGGCUUUGAAUGUGUGUGUCCCUCCCCUGUGACUGAAGCUCAAUAUCAGAGCGUCUGUCCGACUGUGAAUCCCACAUCUCUGUCCUUCAGUUUCACUCAUUCCCAGUUAAGAUGACGACACACACACUGAUCUUCUGCUCUCUGCUGCUGCUCCUCAACGAGUGUAGAGGACAGAUCACCGUCACUCAGAGUCCCUCAAUAACAGCAGAACAACCAGGAGGAACUGUGAAUAUCAAAUGUAAAACCAGCAGUAAUGUGUACAGGAGUGGUUCUGUUGAUAUCUUAGCCUGGUACUUACAGAAACCUGGAGAAGCUCCUAAACUCCUGAUUUAUUGGGCCAACCGCCUCCAGUCAGGAACUCCAUCUAGAUUCAGUGGCAGUGGAUCUAACAGUGAUUUCACUCUGAGCAUCAGUGGAGUCCAGACUGAAGAUGCUGGACAUUAUUACUGUCAGAGUCAUCACAGUGGUGAUGUGUUCACACAGUGAUAAAGAGUCGUACAAAAACCUCCGUCAGUCAGAGUCACAGUGACUGAACUGAAACUGCAGCUGCUCAAACACACACACACACACACACACACACACACACACACACACACACACACACACACACACACACACACACACACACACACACACACA